CUGAAAGAUAUACUUAAGGUUAAUGUGAGUAGUCCUCCUAUAGUUCAGAGAUCUGGUCCACUUGUAAAGUAAGUGAGUUUCUGUUCUCCAGUAAUCCUCUAUGGCAUGAAGUAUACUUUUCUUAGCCCAGAAGGCUAGGACGACAUCAGAGCUUGUAGAGCCGGCGUGUCCCAAGAGCCGGCGUGCAUACUCAGAAGUAGGACCCACAUUGCCAGAGCCUGUGGAGAGGUAAGUCUGGCGGAAGUAGCUCCCAGUAUCACUAAGCCCCCUCUCUCUGGCGGUCUCCCUAAAUACCGUCAGAGGGGGGGCGGGGUCCGGCUCCGCACAGCAGAGUGCCGAACCCGGAAGUGUUACCGCAUGACACAUCUGGCGUUAAGUAGGGUCAGAUGCGCGCAAUGUUAUGGAGAUGGAAACAACAGGAUUUGGCGAUAGACUGAACAUCAGGCGCGAAGGAGAG